UGGGGAAUAUUGGACAAUGGGCGCAAGCCUGAUCCAGCCAUGCCGCGUGAGUGAUGAAGGCCCCAGGGUUGUAAAGCUCUUUUGUGCGGGAAGAUAAUGACGGUACCGCAAGAAUAAGCCCCGGCUAACUUCGUGCCAGCAGCCGCGGUAAUACGAAGGGGGCUAGCGUUGCUCGGAAUCACUGGGCGUAAAGGGUGCGUAGGCGGGUCUUUAAGUCAGGGGUGAAAUCCUGGAGCUCAACUCCAGAACUGCCUUUGAUACUGAAGAUCUUGAGUUCGGGAGAGGUGUGUGGAACUGCGAGUGUAGAGGUGAAAUUCGUAGAUAUUCGCAAGAACACCAGUGGCGAAGGCGGCUCACUGGCCCGAUACUGACGCUGAUGCACGAAAGCGUGGGGAGCAAACAGGACUAGAUACCCUGGUAGUCCACGCCGUAAACGAUGAAUGCCAGCCGUUAGUGGGUUUACUCACUAGUGGCGCAGCUAACGCUUUAAGCAUUCCGCCUGGGGAGUACGGUCGCAAGAUUA
rnacentral:rRNA from 1 species